rnacentral:rRNA from 1 species
UACGAAGGGUGCUAGCGUUGUUCGGAAUCACUGGGCGUAAAGCGCGCGUAGGCGGCGAUGCAAGUCAGAGGUGAAAUCCCCAGGCUCAACCUGGGAACUGCCUUUGAAACUGCAUUGCUUGAGUGUCGGAGGGGAUAGCGGAAUUGCUAAUGUAGAGGUGAAAUUCGUAGAUAUUAGCAGGAACACCGGUGGCGAAGGCGGCUAUCUGGACGACAACUGACGCUGAGGCGCGAAAGCGUGGGGAUCAAACAGG